GAUGAACGCUGGCGGCGUGCCUAAUACAUGCAAGUCGAGCGAACGGACGAUAAGCUUGCUUUUCUGAUGUUAGCGGCGGACGGGUGAGUAACACGUGGAUAACCUACCUAUAAGACUGGGAUAACUUCGGGAAACCGGAGCUAAUACCGGAUAAUAUUUUGAACCGCAUGGUUCAAAAGUGAAAGACGGUCUUGCUGUCACUUAUAGAUGGAUCCGCGCUGCAUUAGCUAGUUGGUAAGGUAACGGCUUACCAAGGCAACGAUGCAUAGCCGACCUGAGAGGGUGAUCGGCCACACUGGAACUGAGACACGGUCCAGACUCCUACGGGAGGCAGCAGUAGGGAAUCUUCCGCAAUGGGCGAAAGCCUGACGGAGCAACGCCGCGUGAGUGAUGAAGGUCUUCGGAUCGUAAAACUCUGUUAUUAGGGAAGAACAUAUGUGUAAGUAACUGUGCACAUCUUGACGGUACCUAAUCAGAAAGCCACGGCUAACUACGUG
rnacentral:rRNA from 1 species